rnacentral:rRNA from 1 species
UACGAAGGGGGCUAGCGUUGUUCGGAAUUACUGGGCGUAAAGCGCACGUAGGCGGACAUUUAAGUCAGGGGUGAAAUCCCAGAGCUCAACUCUGGAACUGCCUUUGAUACUGGGUGUCUUGAGUAUGGAAGAGGUGAGUGGAAUUCCGAGUGUAGAGGUGAAAUUCGUAGAUAUUCGGAGGAACACCAGUGGCGAAAGCGGCUACCUGGCCCAUUCUUGACGCUGAGGCGCGAAAGCUAGGGGAGCAAACGGG